AUUUAAGCGAUGGCAGGUUGGACGAGGAAUGCCGACUUAUUUUUUAAUGCCUGUUUUGAAAGUAUCAAUCCUUUGGCAAGAAGGAUUCCUGGGUAUGCUGAAUUCAUAGGAAUGUCUGCAUUUUAAAUUUUGAACUUUAUAUCCUAUUGCAUUAUGUUACAUCGACUGAUGUGGGAUGAUGAUGAUAUAUGCAGUUUGUAAUGACCCGCUGCUGUGUGUGGUUUGCCACGGGCAGGUAGAUCAAUGUUUUCGAGUGAGAGUGUUGGUUUACUUUUAUUGCCAAACGAAAUCAUCAAGUUGCGGACUAUGAGUGCAGUUAAUUGCACCAGCAUUCUCGUAAGUGUGGUAAAUGCAGAAGGUUUGCAAGCGCGCAGCUGGAGGUCUGUCAAAGUGCGGGUUCUGGCAUCAGGUUCACCGGCAGUGCUCAUGAUUGAGCAGCUGCCUCCACUGUCAUUAUCAUAUGCGCCAGAGAAGAGUUAAUGCAUGGACCGUAGCCCUAUAGUAACUCCAAGUUCUGCUGUGCAUGUCGCGCCAUUCAAGAUCACAGGACUUCCAGCCGUGAUGAUUAAGUAUCAAACGGAUCGGAGCGCCACUGCACUCGUUCAUUCUUGCUUUGGUUUUUAUUCUUUCUCCAAGCCUUCAUCCCAGCAAUGAGGACAAUCCUCCUAGCAGCAAUCAGUGGCACCACAGUUUUCAGCUAGAAUGGAGCUGAUAGUGUAAUUCCCCAGCUAAAUGGAACUAUAGUUCGAUGGAGUAAAGUAACUCAUAUUUGACAUGUUUCCUUAGGACGUAAGGAGAAACUUCUUCACCCAUGGAAUCAGAAUAUUCCGGUCAGUCUUAUUUUCCUAAUUAUUUCCUGUAGCCUGUUCUCUUUGAUGUGGCCAUCAUCUUCCCUGACUCUCCUGCCCCCUCCCCGACCUUUAUUAAGGGCAGUUUACAAUUACCAAUAAACCUGUCAUCUAUAAGACCUCUGGAAGGGUACCAGAACACUCAGGGGAAGUCACGUGGACACAGGGGGCAUGCUGAAGUUGGAUAGAAACAGCUUUGAGUUUUUAAGUGCACUGUUUAAAUUGACUUCACUGUAAAAUAUUCAACUGAUUGCAGUAAGUCAUCCUGUAAAGCCCAUGGUACACAACCCAUUGACAUAGUGCAUUUUGUUUGACUGGCGUGCCACAGUUCAUUGGCUGUGACAUUAGUGUCAACAGACGCUGAAUUUUUGACCACCUGGACUCCGUAGAUUGGAAUUCAUUCCUCGAAACCAUUCUAUCUUCUUCUUCAAAAAAAUGUACUCUUUGACUCGGGUUUUGAUAUCCACCUAACUCUUCCACCACAUCAUUCUAUAAAACAAAUUAGGAUUUUUUAAUAUUAAAAGUGCUAUAAAAUGUACGUUGAUUUGGACCCAGAAAUUUCCAAGAGCUGUUCACGCUUAACUGCUACAGUAGGAUUAAUAUGUGCUGUUAUUUAUUUUGACCAUCCUGACAGUGAAAAAUAAUGGUUUAUGAAGAUGGUGCUAUCUAGAGAUAGUACAAUUUGCAGCUUUCUUAACCAAACUAGUCAUUGAAAGUUAACACUUAAAUUAAGUAAAUAGAUGGUGGAGUCUAGGGGUAGUUCACAGAGCACCAGCAUGGGCAUUUCUGCUAAACCUGGGAUUAUAAUUGUUCCACAUGCCUUUCAAUAUACUUAUCUAGCCUCUAUUUGUUGCAGGUAUUUGUAAAAUCUGCAAUUAUUUCAGCUCUCCUUCAACAUCAGGAUGCACCUCAUUGACUGCAGUUCAGCAUUCAGUACGAACAUCCCCUCAAAACUAAUUAAUAAGCUCCAAGGCACAGGCCUCGUCCUUGUACAAUUGUUCAAUUGGAUCCUUGAUUUCCUCACCCAGAGACCCCAGACAGUUCGGAUUCCCAUAACAUCUCCUCCACAAUCAAUAUCAGCAGGGGUGCACCACAAGGCUGUGUGCUUAGCCCCUGCUCUACUAGCCUUAUACUUAUGACCAUGAGGCUAAGUACAGCUUCAAUGCCAUAUCUGAGUUUGCUGAUGACACCAGUGUUGUUGGCCAAAUCAAAGAUGAGGACAAAUCAGCAUUAAGGAGGGAGACUGAAAAUCUGGCUGAAUGGUGCCACAACAACAAACUCUCACUCAAUGUCAGCAACACCAAGGAGCUGAUUAUUGACCUCAGGAGGAGGAAACCAGAGCUCCAUGAACUAGUCCUCAUCGGGGAAUCAGAGGGAGAGAGGGUCAGCAAUUUUAAAUUUUUUGGUGUUAUCAUUUCAGAGUAUCUGUCUUGGUCCAGCAUGUAAGAGCCAUUACAAAGAAGACACAGCAGUGCCUCUGCUUUGUUAGAAGUUUGCAAAGAAAUGGCAUCAGCAAGGAGGUACAGGAGCUUCAAGUCCCACACCACAAGGUUCAAGAACAGUUAUUACCUCUCAACCAUCAAGCUCUUCAACCAGAGGGGAUAAAUUUACUCAACAUUACUCACCACCCCAACGCUGAACUGAUUCUGCAACCUAUGAACUCACUUUUAAGAAUGCUGCAAGUCAUGUCCUCAUUGUUUAUUGCUUAUUUAUUUAUUAUUGUUAUUUUUGCAUUUGUACAAUUUGUUGUCUUUUACACAUUGGUUGUUUGUCCAUCUUUGUCCUGUGCAGUUUUUCAUUGAUUCUAUUGUGUUUUACUGUAUUUACUGUGAAUACCUGGAAGAAAAUGAAUCUCAGAAUAGUAUAAGGUGAAAUAUAUAGUAUGUACAUUGAUAAUAAAUUUAGAUUGAACUUUGAA